AACGUAGGACACAAGCGUUAUCCGGAGUUAUUGGGCGUAAAGGGCGUGUAGGCGGAUCGAUAAGUCUACUCUGAAAGCUCCUGGCUAAACUGGGAGAGGCGAGUGGAGACUGUCGGUCUAGAGUGAGGAAGAGGAAAGUGGAAUUCCGCGUGUAGUGGUGAAAUGCGUAGAGAUGCGGAGGAACACCAGUGGCGAAAGCGGCUUUCUGGUCCUUAACUGACGCUGAGGCGCGAAAGCAUGGGGAGCGAACGGG
rnacentral:rRNA from 1 species